rnacentral:rRNA from 1 species
AUGGCUGGGAUCACAGUGGUGCACCAGGCAACCGGAGUUCGACUCCUGAUGUCGGUGCCGGGGUACGACGUCAUGUUCGGGAAGCUCUCGCUGCGCGGCCUCUUCGACGACUACUUCAUGCAGCGCGGCGGCAUCGACACGCGCUUCGUGCUCAAGGCCAAGGAAGAUCCUCGCCUUCAGCUGGCCGCCACCAUUUCUACAAGCAGCGACAUGGAGGCCCAGUUUCGGUGGCACAGGGAUUUAGAUAAUCCACACACAUUUGUGGACUUGACUGCGUCCGCUUCGGAACCGUAA